AUUAGAGGCUACAAACACACCAGAAACAGGCAUGGAGGGUCCUACUGUGAACAGCUGAAAAACUCUUCUCUGCCCUUACUUGCCCAGGACCUGGGUAGGUUUUACUGGAGGAAAAGCAUUCCAGGAAGAACUUGGCAGUGAAAGGAAUCCUCUGGUCUUUUCAUCAUCUCUAUCUAUAUAAUCCAUAUCAUAGAUCAUAUCAUAUCAUCUCUCUAUCCAUUUUUUUUUAGGGAACUCUUCUGAUGAAUGCCUGAAGUAGCUGGUAUCCCAUGAGAAGAUCCCUCUGCAGAUCUACAGGCAAGACCCAGCUGAUGUAGUUCCAUGGUGCUGCACAGACCUGGGACCAGCUGCCCUCAGCCUCCAGCACCAGGAAUGGGAUUUUGUGUAGGUUUCCAGGCCUACCUGGGCUGGGGUGGAAACUCAUCAUGGGGGGAAGAGGAGCAGGCUAACUUUACAGGUUGAACACCCUAUUUGCUUGGAAACUUCUCUGCAAUCAGUAGCACCAGGAAGAGGAAUUGCAAACAGCACCAUUAACUGGAGAUUUGAAAGUUGCAGAUACCAAUCAUGGUGCUUGAAAACUGCAGGGAAGUUUACAUGAGAGAAGCAAACAGCAGUGCUUUGUGGGCAAUGCUUUGAUUGAACAGGCACAGUAAGACAGUUUCUCAUCUGUGUUAAUGGAGAAGCAUUCUUUGUUUCUAUUC
rnacentral:lncRNA from 1 species